AUUGAACGCUGGCGGCAGGCCUAACACAUGCAAGUCGAGCGAGCGGCGGACGGGUGAGUAAUGUCUGGGAAACUGCCUGAUGGAGGGGGAUAACUACUGGAAACGGUAGCUAAUACCGCAUACCCACAGAUAUGGCCAGAGGGGAUUAGCUGGUAGGGGGGGUAACGGCUCACCUAGGCGCCGCGCCCUAGCUGGUCUGAGAGGAUGACCAGCCAGACUGGAACUGAGAAACGGUCCAGACUCCUACGGGAGGCAGCAGUGGGGAAUAUUGCACAAUGGGCGCAAGCCUGAUGCAGCCAUGCCGCGUGUGUGAAGAAGGCCUUCGGGUUGUAAAGCACUUUCAGCGGGGAGGCGUUACCCGCAGAAGAAGCACCGGCUAACUCCGUGCCAGCAGCCGCGGUAAUUC
rnacentral:rRNA from 1 species